GAAAUUUAUAAUGAAAGCUUCUAACUUUCUUAAUAGCAUUAAAUUGUUAAAAUUUCU
rnacentral:tRNA from 1 species